AGUACCGUGAGGGAAAGGCGAAAAGAACCCCGGGAGGGGAGUGAAAUAGAUCCUGAAACCGCAUGCUUACAAAAAGUAGGAGCCUGGAAACGGGUGACUGCGUACCUUUUGUAUAAUGGGUCAGCGACUUACAUUCAGUGGCAAGGUUAACCGAAUAGGGAAGCCGUAGAGAAAUCGAGUCCGAAUAGGGCGAAUUAGUCGCUGGGUGUAGACCCGAAACCAAGUGAUCUAUCCAUGGCCAGGAUGAAGGUGCCGUAACAGGUACUGGAGGUCCGAACCGACUAGUGUUGCAAAACUAGCGGAUGAGCUGUGGAUAGGGGUGAAAGGCUAAACAAACUCGGAAAUAGCUGGUUCUCUCCGAAAACUAUUUAGGUAGUGCCUCAAGUAUUACCNGUUGGGGGUAGAGCACUGUUUUGGCUAGGGGGUCAUGGCGACUUACCAAACCAAGGCAAACUCCGAAUACCGACGAGUACAGCUUGGGAGACAGAGCACCGGGUGCUAACGUCCGGACUCAAGAGGGAAACAACCCAGACCGCCAGCUAAGGUCCCUAAAAUUGGCUAAGUGGGAAACGAAGUGGGAAGGCUAAAACAGUCAGGAUGUUGGCUUAGAAGCAGCCAU
rnacentral:rRNA from 1 species